UAUGAUCCAGAGUACCACGGGACACGUGAAACCCUGUGGGAAGCAGGAGGGACCACCCUCCAAGGCUAAAUACUACCUAGUGACCGAUAGCGUAUAGUACCGUGAGGGAAAGGUGAAAAGAACCCCGGGAGGGGAGUGAAAUAGAACCUGAAACCCUGCACUUACAAGCUGUGGAAGCACAUUUCUUGUGUGACCGCGUACUUUUUGUAGAACGGGCCAACGAGUUACGUUAAGUAGCAAGGUUAAGCACUUAAGGUGCGGAGCCGUAGCGAAAGCGAGUUUUAACUGAGCGUUCAGUUACUUGACGUAGACCCGAAACCGGGCGACCUACCCAUGAGCAGGAUGAAGCGAAAGUAAAAUUUCGUGGAGGUCCGAACCCACGAGCGUUGAAAAGCUCGGGGAUGACUUGUGGGUAGCGGUGAAAUUCCAAUCGAGCCCGGAGAUAGCUGGUUCUCCCCGAAAUAGCUUUAGGGCUAGCCUCAAGGUGAGAGAUACGGAGGUAGAGCACUGAAUGUCCUAGGGGGUAUUGCACCUACCGAAGACUAUCAAACUCCGAAUGCCGUCAUCUUAUACUUGGGAGUCAGACUGUGGGUGAUAAGAUUCAUAGUCGAAAGGGCAACAGCCCAGAUCGUCAGCUAAGGUCCCUAAAUGUAAGUUAAGUGGUAAAGGAUGUGGGAUUGCACAGACAACCAGGAUGUUGGCUUAGAAGCAGCCACUCAUUCAAAGAGUGCGUAAUAGCUCACUGGUCGAGUGAUCCUGCGCCGAAGAUUUCCGGGGCUAAAACUUACUACCGAAGCUACGGCAUCAGUAAUGAUGGGUAGGGGAGCUUCCCAUACGGGUUGAAGCAUGACCGUAAGGACAUGGGGACAGUAUGGGAGUGAGAAUGUUGGCAUGAGUAGCGAGAUGUGGGUGAGAAUCCCACAGGCCGUAAACCCAAGGUUUCCAGGGGAAGGUUCGUCCGCCCUGGGUUAGUCGGGACCUAAGCUGAGGCCGAAAGGCGUAGGUGAUGGACAACAGGUUGAUAUUCCUGUACUACCGAUAACCGUUUGAGAGAAGGGAUGACACAGUAGGAUAAGCUAAGCACACUGUUGGUUAUGUGUGCCCAAGCAUUGAGGCAGUCAAAGUAGGCAAAUCCGCUUUGAUAAUGCUGGGAUGUGAUGGGGAGCGAAAUUUAGUAGCGAAGUAGCUGAUUUCACACUGUCAAGAAAAGUCUCUAUCGAGGUUAAAGGUACCCGUACCGCAAACCGACACAGGUGGGUGAGGAGAGUAUCCUAAGGCCAGCGAGAGAACUGUUGUUAAGGAACUCGGCAAAAUGACCCCGUAACUUAGGGAUAAGGGGUGCCACCAUCAGGUGGCCGCAGAGAAUAGGCCCAAGCGACUGUUUACCAAAAACAUAGGUUUCUGCUAAGUCGCAAGACGAUGUAUAGGAGCUGACGCCUGCCCGGUGCUGGAAGGUUAAGGGGAUCUGUUAGAGCAAUCGAAGCAGUGAACUUAAGCCCCAGUAAACGGCGGCCGUAACUAUAACGGUCCUAAGGUAGCGAAAUUCCUUGUCGGGUAAGUUCCGACCCGCACGAAAGGCGUAACGAUUUGGGCACUGUCUCAACAACAGACUCGGUGAAAUUGUAAUUCCGGUGAAGAUGCCGGAUACCUGCGACAGGACGGAAAGACCCCAUGGAGCUUUACUGCAGCUUGACAUUGGGUCUUGGUACUACAUGUACAGGAUAGGUGGGAGGCUUUGAAACCAGGACGCCAGUUUUGGCGGAGCCAUCCUUGGGAUACCACCCUUGUAGUACUGGGACUCUAACCAUAGGCCAUGAAUCUGGUCUUGGGACACUGUCAGGUGGGCAGUUUGACUGGGGCGGUCGCCUCCCAAAAGGUAACGGAGGCGCUCAAAGGUUCUCUCAGUACGGUCGGAAAUCGUACGUAGAGUGUAAAGGCAAAAGAGAGCUUGAUUGCAAGACAUGCAGGUCGAGCAAGGAUGAAAAUCGGACUUAGUGAUCCGGUGGUUCUGCGUGGAAGGGCCAUCGCUCAACGGAUAAAAGCUACCCUGGGGAUAACAGGCUUAUCUCCCCCAAGAGUCCACAUCGACGGGGAGGUUUGGCACCUCGAUGUCGGCUCAUCACAUCCUGGGGCUGUAGUAGGUCCCAAGGGUUGGGCUGUUCGCCCAUUAAAGUGGUACGCGAGCUGGGUUCAGAACGUCGUGAGACAGUUCGGUCCCUAUCCGUCGCAGGCGUAGGAAAUUUGAGAAGACCUGUCCUUAGUACGAGAGGACCGGGAUGGACGUACCUCUGGUGUACCAGUUGUCCUGCCAAGGGCAUGGCUGGGUAGCUAUGUACGGAAUGGAUAAGCGCUGAAAGCAUCUAAGCGCGAAGCCAACUUCAAGAUAAGAUUUCCCACCGCAAGGGUAAGACCCCAGAAAGACUAUCUGGUUGAUAGGUCGAAGGUGUAAGUGCAGCAAUGUAUUUAGCUUAUCGAUACUAAUAGGUCGAGGACUUGACCAAU
rnacentral:rRNA from 1 species